GUAAAUCGUUCUAUCGCUCCAAGCAAUUGGGGAGGAAAGUCCGGACACCACAGAGCAUCGUAGCGGGUAAUGCCCGUCCACCGUGAGGUGAGGACAAGUGCAACAGAAAGAAUGUACAGUUUUAUUGACAGAUAGUGCCACAGAAAGGGAAACUACCUCGAAGCAACGUGUUGUUUUGAGGAAAAGGUGAAAAGGUGUGGUAAAAGCGCACCAGUAUCAAAAGAGAUUUUGGUAGCUUGGUAAACCUUAUGGGGUGCAAGGCCAUGUAAACCGAGGCUUGAGGGCUGCUCGCCUGAUCUCGGAGGGUAGGCUGCAUAGAUAAAUGAUAGAUUAAAACAGAAUCCGGCUUAUUAAGGUUUACAAAA
rnacentral:RNase_P_RNA from 1 species